GGAAAAAAAUCUGUCGACGGAAGUGAUAUUCGUCGAGGCGGAGGCAUAAAGCAUAUAGGGAAAUUUACUAACUUCCUUUUUUACUGUGGCCGCCAUAGCGAGUGGAGCGUGGUUCCCGGCGAGCCGAAAAGAAAUUACCGAAAAUGGCCUGUGCACGACCCCUGAUUUCGGUUUAUUCCGAGAAAGGAGAAUCCGCAGGCAAGAAUGUUGUCAUGCCUGCUGUGUUCAAGGCUCCAAUUCGCCCUGAUGUUGUGAAUUUUGUUCACACCAACAUGCGCAAGAACAGUCGCCAGCCUUAUGCAGUCAGUGAACUGGCAGGCCACCAAACCAGUGCAGAGUCCUGGGGUACAGGAAGAGCUGUGGCCCGUAUCCCUCGUGUGAGAGGUGGUGGUACUCACCGCUCGGGCCAGGGUGCUUUUGGAAAUAUGUGUCGUGGAGGACGCAUGUUUGCCCCCACCAAAACCUGGCGCCGCUGGCACCGCAGGAUCAACACAACCCAGAAGCGUUAUGCCAUUUGCUCUGCCGUGGCUGCCUCUGCUAUUCCUGCACUUGUGAUGUCCAAAGGACACCGCAUUGAGGAAAUCCCUGAGGUCCCACUGGUUGUUGAAGACAAAGUUGAGGGCUACAAGAAGACCAAGGAGGCAGUGCUCCUGCUGAAGAAGCUUAAAGCCUGGAAUGACAUCAAGAAGGUCUACGCCUCUCAGCGCAUGCGUGCUGGUAAGGGUAAGAUGAGGAAUCGCAGACGUAUCCAACGCAGAGGACCAUGCAUCAUCUACAACCAAGACGCUGGUGUCACCAAAGCCUUCAGAAAUAUCCCAGGCAUCACUCUGCAGAAUGUGAACAAACUGAACCUCCUGAGGCUCGCCCCUGGUGGUCACGUUGGACGCUUCUGCAUCUGGACUGAGAGUGCUUUCCGCAAGCUGGAUGAGCUGUACGGCACCUGGCGUAAACCUGCUUCCCUGAAGGUCGGCUACAACCUGCCCAUGCACAAGAUGACCAACACAGACCUGAGCAGGAUUCUGAAGAGUGAGGAGAUCCAGAAAGCUCUUCGUGCGCCUAAGUAAGCAUGGCCCACUUUCAGUUCUUUAAAUUUUGUUUCAGCUUGUCAACUAUGAUGAUGUUCCACUUCAGGUCCGUGUUUCUGAACCCUGAUUAUUAUGGAGUCCUGAGCGACAAAGUUUAUUACCAACUUGCAGUUCAGCAGAAGUUUGCGUUGUUAAGACUGGGUUAUAUUGUCAUUACAGCAAGAAGAUCAACCGCAGAGUACUGAAGAAGAAUCCUCUGAAGAACUUGAGGAUAAUGCUCAAAUUGAACCCUUAUGCCAAGACAGCAAGACGUCAUGCCAUCCUCAAGCAUGACCCUGUGAUCAAGGCCAAGAUGCUGAAACCCAAGAAGAAGCCUGGAAAGAAGGGAGCACCUGCCAAACCCAAGGCAUAAAUCUAUACUUAACAGACUGGUGAUCAGUGAUAAAUAAAUCAGUUGUUUCAAA